AAUCAUCCUCGCCUGCUGGGGCAGGAUACUUUUUUUAUCUAAAAAGGACGGUGAGUUGCGCCCAUGUAUAGAUUACAGGGCAUUGAACAAAAUCACUAUUAAGAACGCCUACCCCAUUCCUCUUAUUGCUGAAUUAUUUGAUAGACUCCAAGGUGCUAAAGUAUUUACUAAGCUUGAUCUUAGAAGUGCUUACAAUUUAGUGAGAAUCAAGGAAAACCACAAGUGGAAGACUGCAUUUAAUACCAGAAGUGGACACUAUGAAUAUCUAUGCCAUUCGGGUUGUGCAAUGCUCCAGCGGUUUUCCAAGAUUUCAUAAAUGAUGUACUCAGGGAUUACAUUUACUCGUUUGUCUUGGUCUAUCUGGAUGAUAUCCUUAUUUAUUCUCCUGACAUUCAUACUCACCACGAUCACGUCAGACAAGUUCUGCAGACCUUGUUAAAGAAUCAACUUUAUUGUAAAUUAGAGAAAUGCAUCUUUGACCAAUCUGAAGUACAGUUUUUGGGAUAUAAUAUCUCUGCCUCGGGGUUUCAAAUGGAUUCUAAAAAGCUGGAAUCGGUUCUACAAUGGCCUUUACCCACUGGGUUGAAAGCCAUUCAAAGGUUAAUUGGUUUUGCGAAUUAUUACAGAAGGUUUAUAAAGGGAUUUUCUUCAGUAAUAGCCCCCAUCACCAAUAUGACAUGCAAGGGGGUUAGCAGUACGAUACGGUCUAAGGAGGCUAUAGAAGCCUUUGAAACUCUCAAACAGCGGUUUGCCUCCGCCGACAUAUUGAUACAUCCUGACACCAGUAAACCUUUCAUACUAGAAGUUGAUGCAUCAGAGACAGGGGUAGGGGAACUUCUCUCCCAAAGGGAGAGCCAGGAUACUCCAUUGCAUCCUUGUGGUUACUUCUCUAGAAAGUUGUCUCCUGCCGAGCGCAAUUAUGUUUUUUUUGUUGGCAAUUAUUCUAGCUCUCAAGUAGUGGCAACAUCUUUUAGAGGGUUCCAAGUACCCCCUUUUGAUCAUUACUGAUCACAAAAACCUGGCCUACAUAGGAGAUGCUAAACGAUUGUCUUCUAGACAAGCUAGGUGGUCUCUGUUCCUUUCUCGCUUUAAUUUUCUUAUUACUUAUAGACCUGGUUCUAAUAAUGUCAAGGCUGACGCCUUAUCCAGACAGUUUGAUACUGAGUCUAUACAAGAGCAAGAAAAGUCCUGUAUCAUUCCCCCGGAAUGUAUCAUUGCUUCCACUAUCCUUUCAUUGUCCUCUCCACUGCUUGGCUCCAUCAUAGAGGCUCAGUCUCAGGCGCCCUGCGGUAAACCUCAGGACAAAUUGUUCGUUCCAUUGGGGGAAAGGGUUAAUAUCAUGAAGGUGUUUCACAACAAUGUGUCUGCUGGUCACCCAGGUAUUAAUAAAUCCACUUCUGCUAUUAUGAGGUCAUUCUGGUGGGAUUCCCUCAGGAAGGAUGUUAAGGAGUAUGUGCAGGCUUGUUCUGUUUGUGCGGUUUCCAAAGUACCUCAUAAACUCCCUUGUGGCUUGUUACAACCUCUUCCCGUUCAUGAUGUCCC